CAGCAGCCGCGGUAAUACGUAGGGUGCAAGCGUUAAUCGGAAUUACUGGGCGUAAAGCGUGCGCAGGCGGUCCGCUAAGACAGAUGUGAAAUCCCCGGGCUUAACCUGGGAACUGCAUUUGUGACUGGCGGGCUAGAGUAUGGCAGAGGGGGGUAGAAUUCCACGUGUAGCAGUGAAAUGCGUAGAGAUGUGGAGGAAUACCGAUGGCGAAGGCAGCCCCCUGGGCCAAUACUGACGCUCAUGCACGAAAGCGUGGGGAGCAAACAGGAUUAGAUACCCGGGUAGUCCCUGUCUCUUAUAC
rnacentral:rRNA from 1 species